rnacentral:lncRNA from 1 species
GCCCCGUUCCCUGCGGCUCUCGGGGCUCUCGGGAACCUCCCUGAGCCUGGAGUGGGACCCGGGCUGGGACGGGGGCCUGGCCCAGCACUUCCUGCUCCGGUAGGGGGCGCCCCGAGCCACUUCCGGUUUAUAGAACAUCACUUCCGGUCCUCCCAGACUGACUUCCGGUCAUUUUGAACAAUCCUCGGGGCACUUCCGGUUUUUACAGCCCAACUUCCGGUUGUUUUGUGCCACUUCCGGUCUGGCCCUACUAACUUCCGUGCUCUUCUGUGGUUCUCUGUGCUACUUCCGGUCUCUAAGACUCAACUUCCGGUUUUGUACUCUCACUUCCGGUCCGCCUAUACAACAUUCCGGGCGAUUCCAUCGUUCUCUCUGUUACUUUCGUUUCCUUUACGCCAACUUCCGGUUCUGCCGCCUCACUUCCGGUUUGUCUAUUCUGACUUCCGGCUUCUUUUUUGUUACUUCCGGUCUCCCAACCUCAACUUCCGUUAAUUUUGCGUCACUUCCGGUCUGCCAAGCUAAACUUCUGUACUUUUAAUGGUCCCCAUCUUGGCCCCGCCCCUUUUUUGCCUCGUUACGGGGUUUCCCAGCCCCUCCCCGCUCCAACUUCCGGCCACGCCCAUUCCUCACUUUCCCACCGCCCCUCCCCCACAGCGCUGACGGCCCGGACGCCCCUCCCCCACCCGCCCACCUCGUCACUUCCGGUUUUUCCCUCACGGUGGGCGGGCUUCAGCCGGACACGCCCUAUGACGUCACCGUGCGCGCCCGCAACGCCCGCGGGGAGAGCGCCCCCGUGCGGCUGAGAGCCGUCACUUCCGCCAUUCCCGAGGCCCCGCCCCCGGUGUGGGCGGGGCCUGAGGCGCCCCCUGGCGGGGGGGCGGACCCGGAAGUGCCCGUCCUGCAGGGGGCGCUCGGCGCCAUGGCCGGGGCCCUGCUGGCCACCGUGGGGGCGGGGCUUGGCUGCUGCUACUUCCGGUGGGGGCGGGGCCGGCGGCAGCGAGCGGGGA